UAACCUACGGGACGCAGCAGUGAGGAAUAUUGGUCAAUGGUCGGGAGACUGAACCAGCCAAGCCGCGUGAGGGAGGAAGGUACAGAGUAUCGUAAACCUCUUUUGUCAGGGAACAAAGGCGGGGACGUGUCCCCGGAUGAGUGUACCUGAAGAAAAAGCAUCGGCUAACUCCGUGCCAGCAGCCGCGGUAAUACGGAGGAUGCGAGCGUUAUCCGGAUUUAUUGGGUGUAAAGGGAGCGUAGACGGCUGUGCAAGUCUGAAGUGAAAGCCCGUGGCUCAACCGCGGAACUGCUUUGGAAACUGUA
rnacentral:rRNA from 1 species